GCUUGGAGAGGGUAUGGAGGCCCUCAGGACCAGCUGUGUCGCUCAGUCUAACCUUUCCUUGGACUUAAUGUCCUCUGCUUCCACUGGUUAUAUCAGUAGGCCUGAAGAAUCUGUGCCAAAGUCUAUUACUGGUUGUCCCUUGAUUUCUGUGAAUGACUUUGGAGGGGGUGCUGUCCUGGACAUCAGUGAUUUGGAGUCACAAUGUGACUUGGAGAUUGGAGUUUCUGGGGUUUACCAAGAACUUCAAGGAGCCUGACGAUGAUUCAGAGGCCAGUGUUCCCAAACCUCAGUGUCCUCAAAAGAUGGAGAAUGGUGUGUUCACGUCACAGAAGCAGCCUCAGAACCUGGACCCUGCCCUGAGUCCCUCUGCCCUUCAGCUCAUCUCCUUUGUCAGGAUGGGGAGGGGCCUUGGGGAUCUUUGUUUUUUUGUUCUGAGACAUUCUCCAAGUUGCCCAGGGUGGCUUUAAACUUGAUCCUUCUGCCUCAGCCUCCUGAGUAGGUGGAAUUAUAGGUGUGGGCCACCGUGCCCAGCCUCAGCCCCCUUCUUGUUAAAGACCUUCUUGUUAAAGACCUUUACAAUG